CCCUUAGACGUUCUGGGCCGCACGCGCGCUACACUGACCGGUGCAACAAGCAUCCGUCCUUGGCCGACAGGCCCGGGCAAUCUUUGAACGCUGUUCGUGAUUGGGAUAGACCUUUGCAAUUAUGGGUCUUCAACGAGGAAUUCCUAGUAAACGCAAGUCAUCAGCUUGCAUUGAUUACGUCCCUGCCCUUUGUACACACCGCCCGUCGCACCUACCGAUUGAAUGGUCCGGUGAAAUCUCGGGACGGCGGCUUGGUCGCUUGCGUCCGACUGCUGAAACUUGAUUAAACCAUAUCAUUUAGAGGAAGGUGAAGUCGUAACG
rnacentral:rRNA from 1 species